UCGAAGGUGGCGGAAUUGGUAGACGCGCUAGCUUCAGGUGUUAGUGUUCUUACGGACGUGGGGGUUCAAGUCCCCCCCCUCGCACCA
rnacentral:tRNA from 1 species